rnacentral:rRNA from 1 species
AUUGAACGCUGGCGGCAUGCCUUACACAUGCAAGUCGAACGGUAACAGGUCUUCGGAUGCUGACGAGUGGCGAACGGGUGAGUAAUAUAUCGGAACGUGCCUAGUAGUGGGGGAUAACUACUCGAAAGAGUGGCUAAUACCGCAUGAGAUCUACGGAUGAAAGCAGGGGAUCGCAAGACCUUGUGCUACUAGAGCGGCCGAUGGCAGAUUAGGUAGUUGGUGGGAUAAAAGCUUACCAAGCCGACGAUCUGUAGCUGGUCUGGGAGGACGAUCAGACACACUGGGACUGAGACACGGCACAGACUCCGACGGGAGGCAGCAGUGGGGAAUUGUGGACCAUGGGCGCAAGCCUGAUCCAGCAAUGCCACGUGCAGGAUGAAGGCCUACGGGUUGUAAACUGCUUUUGUACGGAACGAAAAGCCCUGGGUUAAUACCCUGGGGUCAUGACGGUACCGUAAGAAUAAGCACCGGCUAACUACGUGCCAGCCGCCGCCGUAA